rnacentral:rRNA from 1 species
UGGGGAAUAUUGGACAAUGGGCGCAAGCCUGCUCCAGCCAUGCCGCGUGAGUGAUGAAGGCCCUAGGGUUGUAAAGCUCUUUCACCGGUGAAGAUAAUGACGGUAACCGGAGAAGAAGCCCCGGCUAACUUCGUGCCAGCAGCCGCGGUAAUACGAAGGGGGCUAGCGUUGUUCGGAUUUACUGGGCGUAAAGCGAACGUAGGCGGACUAUUCAGGCAGGGGUGAAAUCCCGGGGAUCAACCCCGGAACUGCCUUUGAUACUGGUAGUGUUGAGUUGGAGAGAGGUGAGUGGAAUUCCGAGUGUAGAGGGGAAAUUCGUAGAUAUUCGGAGGAACCCCAGUGGGGAAGGCGGCUCACUGGCUCGAUACUGACGCUGAGGUGCGAAAGCGUGGGGAGCAAACAGG